rnacentral:sRNA from 19 species
GUCAACACCCCUGCCCUACGGUGAGGGGGCUUCUAACCUCAAGCCAAGCGGAUUAGUUGACCCGACUCAGUACCUUGAGUACUACGUUAUUGGUAAGUGUUUAAGUUCCUACCUACGGAUACGAAGCCAGUCUGUAGCUCUAGA